AGCAGGCUCCCGUGCAGGAGGUCAG
rnacentral:misc_RNA from 1 species